rnacentral:rRNA from 1 species
UACAGAGGUCUCAAGCGUUGUUCGGAUUCAUUGGGCGUAAAGGGCGCGUAGGCGGCGGGGUAAGUCGGGUGUGAAAUCUCAGAGCUCAACUCUGAAAUGGCACUUGAUACUGCUCUGCUAGAGGACUGGAGAGGAGACUGGAAUUUACGGUGUAGCGGUGAAAUGCGUAGAUAUCGUAAGGAAGACCAGUGGCGAAGGCGGGUCUCUGGACAGUUCCUGACGCUGAGGCACGAAGGUCAGGGGAGCAAACGGG